rnacentral:lncRNA from 1 species
GUACUGAGAGAGGGAUUCCUGGAGAACCUGGAGCAAAAGGUCAGAUAGGCCUUCCGGGUAGAAAAGGUGAAAAAGGAGAAAAAGGAAAUCAAGGCCUCUGCUCAUGUACUGCUGGUCCUCCUGGUCCCCGUGGUAUACAAGGACCUCCAGGUACUCAAGGGAAGAAAGGACAAAUGGGUUACCCUGGAAGACAUGGAGAAAAGGGUGAUUCAGGCUUUUCUGGUGCAGUGGGAUCACCAGGGCUCCCUGGGACACCUGGUCCGGGGGGGCAACAUGGUGAAAAAGGAGAGAAGGGUGACCAAGGAAGAGUUUCAAUAAAAGGAAUAAAAGGUGAAAGAGGUCCUACUGGGGUUCCAGGAUUUCCAGGCCAAAAAGGUAAUGAUGGCAGAGAUGGGGAUUUAGGAUUGCCUGGGGAAAAAGGAGCUGAGGUACGUUUGACUUUCUCAGGAUUUUUUUCUACAUGGAUUAACAUUUUGUCUUAAGAAGAGACUAUAUCUUAAUGAAAAGUGUAAUCUUACUCCAAAUUCAUAGCAGAUUAAUCACUUUUAUCAUUUUCUAUUAGUCUAGAUUAAAAAUCAUAGUAUCAUUGAAAAAAUUUCUUUGGAAGUAUUAUUUUACUGCUUAUUUUGUUACUUCUGGAUAUAUCUAAUUCAUAUACUGGAUCAAUAUCAUGGGAUUAGGAAGAAUAAGUCUACCUUCCGUUCCUAUUGUUUUUCAUUAUUUAAACUAAUAACGUCUCCCAUGCAGUUUCUUGACUGUAGAACAGUGUUUUCUCAGAUAGUUUUCUACUGUGGCUUUUGAUAAUCAGAGAGAGGAAAGGAGUUAGGCCAUGCUAUUUCUUGUCAACAGCUGUUUUCUUUUAGGGUGAUUCUGGAAUACCAGUACCAGGUGAUAAAGGAUUUCCUGGAGUUCCAGGACUCUCCGGAGUAAGAGGACCAAUGGGAUUGCCUGGUUUGGGGUUUCCUGGCCCUCCAGGAGUCAGAGGUACCCCUGGAGACUUUGGUGAUGAUGGUAACAUUGGGCUGCCUGGUCCAAAGGGUCAGAAAGGUAAUUUUAAAUAUUUACAUUAAGAACUAAGCAACUAAAUACGUGUUUGGUACCAUCCAUUACAGUUUCAGAUGCGUUAUAUAUAGUGUUAGUCAUUUACAGCUAAAUGUUUUGGUAAGUUCAGUGGUCACAUACUUACCAGCAAGUACUGGUAAGAAUAUGAAUCUAAAGGGGGCUUGAGCCUGCAGUGUGCUACUUGUACACUACCAGAGGAAUUACUUUCUGGAGUGAAGAAUACUCGUAUUUAUAAGGAUUUACAGGACCAUGCUUCUUUCUAAAGGAACAGGAAAGACAACUCAUACUUAAGACAUGGUCUGUUUGUGUGUUCCCUACCAAAGAAAUCUUCACUGAUAUCAAUAUGUAUAAAUCAAAAUUGUACAUAUAAUUUCUUUCUUACAAUAGAGGGUAGUGUAAAGAAA